rnacentral:rRNA from 1 species
CCUACGGGUGGCAGCAGUGGGGAAUAUUGGGCAAUGGGCGCGAGCCUGACCCAGCAACGCCGCGUGAAGGAAGAAGGCUCUGGGGUUGUUAAAUUCUUUUUUCAGGGAAGAGUAGACUACGGUACGUGACGAAUUAGCUGCGGCUAACUACGUGCCAGCAGCCGCGGCAAUACGUAGGUGGCAAGUGUUGUCCGGAUUUAGUGGGUGUAAAGGGUGUGUAGCCGGGUUGACAAGUCAGAUGUGAAAUCCUGCGGCUUAACCGCAGAACUGCAGUUGAAACUGUCGAUCUUGAGUACUGGAGAGGCAGACGGAAUUCCUGGUGUAGCGGUGAAAUGCGUAGAUAUUAGGCAGAACACCAGUGGCGAAGGCAGUCUGCUGGACAGCAACUGACGGUGAGGCGCGAAAGCGUGGGGAGCAAACAGGAUUAGAUACCCGUGUAGUC